GCCCGACUAGCUCAUCGGUAGAGCGCCUCACUAGUAUCUUCCUUGACAGGGAAAAGGUACAUUGGAAUGAGGAGGCAACAGGUUCGAUUCCUGUGUUGGGCA
rnacentral:tRNA from 1 species